GCCAACCCCCCAGAAAACUAGUGGCAUGUAGCUCCAGCUGUGGCGUAAAGGUAUUUUGAAUGGGCAGGAGGGGCUUUUUGCCAUUCAAGCUUCAGACUUACAAACAUUAAAAGAGGGGCAUUCGAGUCUUACCAAGCAGAUCUGAGAGGAGGUUGGGCCAGCACUUGUUGGCACCAUGCCUGUGCGGCAAUAAUCCAACACUUCCUGAAGGGAGGCAGGAAGGGUUUCUCCUGCCUUGGAAGGAGAAGGGAGCAUCAGGGUUUCUGAUGCAGAUUCUUCCUUCUAGGGGAGCACUGAUAUUAAAACAGUCCUGCUGAUUGCUGGGGACCUGUCCUGUUACCUCCGCUUGCUUGUCACUGCCUUUGCUGCCUGCUGCAAAACGAUCAUACAAAGAUCCAGUGAGAGACAGGAAAACAUAGAUGGAGAGAAGGAAAGAGGAAGAACUCUUCGUGGCCUGCUGUAAUUGUUGACUACGGGAGAAGGACCCAGGGUACAAAAUCAGCUCAGGAGGACAGAGUGAACGAUGGCGCUGCAUGUUUGUGAGCAUUUUUCUCUCAUUCCAGGAGCUGCAGAUCUUUGGAAACCAAACUCCUGAGCAACAGAGGCAAGUGCAACUGCCAGUGGGUGGUGCAUGGGCAUCUCUAAUGCUUGCAAAUACAAGCUUAGUGCUGCCCGUGCCCGCUGCAUGUAUUCUAUUUAUACCACAGCAGAGGGAGCGUUGGCAAAGCAUCUCAGAGGAACAACCUUUUGUUGUACCUACAGCUGCUCCCUUCCCUGUUAGUGCAGGUGACACAAAAAUAAUCCCAAUAAUAAGGAUUGUGUGGUUAAUCGAUUUGCUGCCUUGUGACCACGCUGCAGCCGACUCGGCCAUAGCCUGGGUAUUGCAUCUUGUGUCCCUGUGAUUUCUGACAGGGAAGGAAGCACCUGAAAUACCUCAGGACAUUUAGAAGCCGAUCACCUGGCUGCUUCUCUCAACAGCUCGCUCCAUUGUGGCCUUUUUUUCCAUGUCUGCUAGAAGGCCGGAUCAAGAUGUUGCUUUUCCUCAUGCUGUUGUCCAGGCUCAGCGCUGAGGGACUAUAUUUGAAAUCAGAGGGUGAGCUGUGUGUUAAGAAAUAGCCCUGGCACUAAAAUUACUCUUUGUUUCCCUGACUUCUCUCCUAAUUUAGAUUAUCCAAAUCCAGAUUCCCCCCAGACUUGCCCACAAGAUGGAAUUCUAAGAAAAUAUUGUUUUGUUUCAUUUGUUUUUUAAUGUCCACAUUUCCUGUUCCAGUUUCAAAGUAGGCCUGAGCUCCUCUACUAACAUUGCUCCGGCUGCUAUAUGGGGGAUCUGAGAGAGGGCAGAAAAAAUAAACGAAGUGUGGGGAAUGUGUUUCUUGCAUUUCCCCCUUGUCAGCCACAGGUUCUUUCAUGCAAGAUGGUAAAGAGUUACUGACAUUCCUCUCUUUUCAGGUCAAACAGGGGGAUUACAUGAAGGGUAUUACUAACAUGGGUCAAGGUAUUAAAAAAUGGAUGCCUAAAUUUAGGCUCCUAAUUUUGUAUUUUGAGACCCUAAAUAAGGGCUUGAUCUUGUGCCCUUUGAAGUCAAUGCCAAAGCUUCCACUGAAUUCAAUCUGCAGGAUGAAGUCCUAAAUUAUGGUCAGGUUCUUAAAAGUUCUCAGCGUCUCACAGCUCCAAAUAAGUCAUCACUCAGCCUCUUUGCAAAUCACGCGUCUUCCCUUAAGUGCCUAAACAGGGAGCUCGUGCUUUUAGGUAUUUCAUAUUUAAAAUCCUGCCUGCUGAUGCUGUCUUUCUGUCUCAGGAGCCUUUGACAUGAGAAAGAUAACAAGGCUAAUAAAGUAGCAUAGCCUGGACAUGCAUUGAUUUGCUUUUUCGGUGAGCGGUGCUCAGCACGAACACUGUGAAUUCCAUAGCAAUAUCAGUAUUUAUUGCGGUGUAACGUUAACAUGGAAGACACAUGAAUGUCCUUGCUGGUGCCAGAAUUCAGGCAAGUACAUGACCAUUUGCACAAACUUCACAUACACCGCUCUCCUGGUAACAGGAUGUUGGCAGGUGGGAAGAUCACAGGAUCCAGAUGAAACCUAAGAUGAGAUGAGCAAUCCUGUAGUGGUAAUUUUAGAAGCUGGGUUCUGUACAUUAUUUACAGUACAUUGUAGCUUUAAGGGGAUAAGGCUCCCCCUUGCCACUUGUGGAUUUAAUCUUUUCGGUGAGAUUUCUGUGUGGGACUUUCAGCAGUGCAGCAGCUAGAGGGAUUUUGUCCAUCCAGGAGAGUGUUAAAAUCGCAGGUUAUCUGCAGUAGAGCUACCUUCAUUCAUAAACCGCUCACCUAGCAGGAGGGGAAAAGGCAUCUUGGACCUUCUACCAAAUAAAGAGAAAAAAGCACAGAGUGAGCUAUCUGCUUGCUGCUGACCCAAAGUGCAGAGGCCUGGCAUGAGGAGGGAGCUCCUCACAGUGAACUGUGGCAGAGUCAGAAGCGAAUCCUGCCUCCGGGAACUUUUAUCUUCAGUUGGUGAAAUAUCCCCUCUUUUUCCCAGGCAGGGGCUUGAAGUCUCCCUGUCUCUCGGAGGGCAUUUUUAGCAAUUGCAUUCUGAAUACGGAUAUUUGUUUCUUCAGCAACAAUUAGUUAAAAAAAAAACCCGGAGAGAACAAAGUAAAAGGGAUUCUUUUGCAAUGUUUGAACAACACCCACCACUCCUCUGCAGAAACGUGAUCCCUGAGGGGAAGGGGAUUCUUUUCUUCUCCAGGCUUUCUACUAGGCUGGAUUUCUCCCCUCACUCAGAAGGAAGGCCAUGGGCACCAGGGGUGCAGGAUGUGACCCUGUGGCAGGGGCAGUGGAGGGGCCAGACAGGAGCUGGAGUCACUCCUUGCUCAGACAGACCUGUCACUCAUCUGCCAGCCUUCCUCGGGACCUGUGUGACCUGGGCAACAUCCCCACAUACUGCACCAAUGGGUGACACAAAAUCUUUAAAAAAUAAACGAAGGGAAGAACAGGUCUAAGGUCUACCAAAAGAAAAGAUCUUUAUGGUUUUUUUUUCGUUUCAUGUGUUUCCCUCAGCCAGCAGGUGCCUCUAUAGAGCCAACGCUUUGCCUGUAUCAGUAGGAGUCUGGCACAGCACUGGAAUACCUGCUUUCUAAUGAUAAUAUGGCUUUUUCUUUCUUCCGUGUCUUUUUCCCCUUCCCCUUCCUCCAGCCCGUGAUGAGCCCCAGGAAUCUGCCAGUCUGGACUUCCACUCCAUCCGCCACAAAAGAUCAUUGAAAGGACAGUGGCAGGAGAGAGAUUUAUAUAUGUUGACACAUGCAUAUUGUUUCUGUAUAUCCCGUAUGAGGAAAUUUUAUGUGUGACAUGAGUGAAGGAGCUCAGCCGGGGAAUGCCUGCUGUAACCCCAGUGAAACAAAGGUGCUUUUUUGCCCUUCAGAUACCUUCCCAGAAAGCAGAGUGGGGUUUUUCUGGCAAAAUCUUCACCCCUUCAGUAAAACAGCCCCUGCACACCAGGGCACGGCUCAGGCAGUGCAAGUGGGCCCCCUGGGCGGAGGGGGGUUGGCAUGGGUUGAAGAGAAAUAGAACCCAACCGGGUACGACACCCCCACACCCUCCCUCUCCCCCCCCCCCCCCGGCCCCUGUAGCGCGUAGGCGCUAAGAAAUCACUGUAUCUGAAAAGCGAAGGCCUUGGGGGAAGACAGACAGAUGAUGACUGUGGUCACAAUUUGUCCCCUGCUGUCCCCUCCCCCCAAAUGGCUCCGCUGGACUUUGGAGCAAUUCCCACGGACAAGGUGAAUUUUGACCCGAAUGCGCAUCCAUCGGCAGGGCAGAAAGGGUGGAGGACGCGCGGCCCGUGGGGCGGCCGAGGGGGAAGGCAGGCCAGGGGAGGCUGGGGGUGUAACGUGGGAGCCUCGGGGCUCCACGGUCCCGCGCGAGGCUGGCAGCGGAGGGCGGCGGAAGGGGCGCGCACCCCUUCUACCUCCGUGGCCUUUUCG